UACGUAGGUGGCGAGCGUUAUCCGGAAUGAUUGGGCGUAAAGGGUGCGUAGGCGGCCUGCUAAGUCUGGAGUGAAAGGUACCGGCUCAACCGGUACAGGCUCUGGAAACUGGCGGGCUAGAGAGCAGGAGAGGAGAGUGGAAUUCCAUGUGUAGCGGUGAAAUGCGUAGAUAUAUGGAGGAACACCGGUGGCGAAAGCGGCUCUCUGGUCUGUAACUGACGCUGAGGUUCGAAAGCGUGGGUAGCAAACAGG
rnacentral:rRNA from 1 species